rnacentral:rRNA from 1 species
CCUACGGGAGGCAGCAGUGGGGAAUUUUGGACAAUGGGCGAAAGCCUGAUCCAGCAAUGCCGCGUGAGUGAAGAAGGCCUUCGGGUUGUAAAGCUCUUUUGUCAGGGAAGAAACGGUGAAAGCUAAUAUCUUUUGCUAAUGACGGUACCUGAAGAAUAAGCACCGGCUAACUACGUGCCAGCAGCCGCGGUAAUACGUAGGGUGCAAGCGUUAAUCGGAAUUACUGGGCGUAAAGCGUGCGCAGGCGGUUUUGUAAGUCUGAUGUGAAAUCCCCGGGCUCAACCUGGGAAUUGCAUUGGAGACUGCAAGGCUAGAAUCUGGCAGAGGGGGGUAGAAUUCCACGUGUAGCAGUGAAAUGCGUAGAUAUGUGGAGGAACACCGAUGGCGAAGGCAGCCCCCUGGGUCAAGAUUGACGCUCAUGCACGAAAGCGUGGGGAGCAAACAGGAUUAGAUACCCUGGUAGUCCACGCCCUAAACGAUGUCUACUAGUUGUCGGGUCUUAAUUGACUUGGUAACGCAGCUAACGCGUGAAGUAGACCGCCUGGGGAGUACGGUGCAAGAUUAAAACUCAAAGGAUUGACGG